rnacentral:rRNA from 1 species
GUGGUGAAUAUUGGGCAAUGGGCGAAAGCCUGACCCAGCAACGCCGCGUGAAGGAAGAAGGUUUUCGGAUCGUAAACUUCUAUCCUUGGUGAAGAUAAUGACGGUAGCCAAGAAGGAAGCCCCGGCUAACUACGUGCCAGCAGCCGCGGUAAUACGUAGGGGGCAAGCGUUGUCCGGAAUGAUUGGGCGUAAAGGGCGCGUAGGCGGCCCGGUAAGUCUGAAGUGAAAGUCCUGCUUUUAAGGUGGGAAUUGCUUUGGAUACUGUCGGGCUUGAGUGCAGGAGAGGUAAGCGGAAUUCCCGGUGUAGCGGUGAAAUGCGUAGAGAUCGGGAGGAACACCAGUGGCGAAGGCGGCUUUCUGGACUGUAACUGACGCUGAGGCGCGAAAGUGUGGGGAGCAAACAGGAUUAGAAACCCUUGUAGUCC